rnacentral:rRNA from 1 species
UACGUAGGGUGCAAGCGUUGUCCGGAAUUAUUGGGCGUAAAGAGCUCGUAGGCGGUUCGUCGCGUCGGCUGUGAAAACCUGAGGCUCAACCUCAGGCCUGCAGUCGAUACGGGCGGACUUGAGUACUGCAGGGGAGACUGGAAUUCCUGGUGUAGCGGUGAAAUGCGCAGAUAUCAGGAGGAACACCGGUGGCGAAGGCGGGUCUCUGGGCAGUAACUGACGCUGGAGGGCGAAGCGAAUGGGAGCGUACG